UGUUGGAGAGUUUGAUCCUGGCUCAGGACGAACGCUGGCGGCGUGCUUAACACAUGCAAGUCGAGCGGUAAGGCCUUUCGGGGUACACGAGCGGCGAACGGGUGAGUAACACGUGGGUAAUCUG
rnacentral:rRNA from 1 species